rnacentral:rRNA from 1 species
CUACGGGAUGCACCAGUGAGGGAUAUUGCACAAUGGGGGGAACCCUGAUGCAGCAACGCCGCGUGGAGGAUGACGCAUUUCGGUGUGUAAACUCCUUUUAUAUGUCAAGAAAAUGACGGUAGCAUAUGAAUAAGCACCGGCUAACUCCGUGCCAGCAGCCGCGGUAAUACGGAGGGUGCAAGCGUUACUCGGAAUCACUGGGCGUAAAGGACGCGUAGGCGGGUUGGAAAGUCAGGUGUGAAAUCCUACAGCUUAACUGUAGAACUGCACUUGAAACUUCUAAUCUAGAGGAUGGGAGGGGGAGAUGGAAUUAGUGGUGUAGGGGUAAAAUCCGUAGAUAUCACUAGGAAUACCUAAAGCGAAGGCGAUCUCCUGGAACAUUACUGACGCUAAGGCGUGAAAGCGUGGGGAGCAAACGGGAUUAGAUACCCUUGUAGUC